rnacentral:pre_miRNA from 1 species
CAACUACUCCCUCUGUUCCAAAAUUCUUGUCUUACAUUUGUCUAAAUGCGCAUGUAUGAAGUCACAUUUUAGUAUUAGAUACAUCUGUAUCAAGACAAAUCUAAGACAAGAAUUUUGGGACGGACGGAGUACUUA